rnacentral:lncRNA from 1 species
UCCAAACACGCCACCAUCAUUGCCUUGUUCCAUCAGAAUUUAAUGUGUACACAAUGUAAAUUACAUUCAUCUUUUCUUCCGUUGAGGAACUGUGCUCCGAUGACUACCUUGUCGGUCAUUGCCGAAGGCAAAGAAAUCCCAUUUACAGGUGAGGAGUUGCCGCUAGAAGCCAUGGUAAGGUCUUUGUGGUGGGACUUGUUGGGCAAAAAUAGUUUGAAUACAUAAUAUGAUCAGCAAAAAUAGAAUGAGGUAGAAGGCAUUUUCUUGAAACGCAGUAGUUGCCAUAGAUGUUUUUAAAUCGAAGUCUGUGUAAAAGUAAUGGUUUUCCCUUUGAGUUUUUCUUCUUCCUAGAGUUGGG